rnacentral:rRNA from 1 species
UACGGAUGGUGCAAGCGUUAUCCGGAUUCACUGGGUUUAAAGGGUGCGUAGGCGGGUAGGUAAGUCAGUGGUGAAAUCCUGGAGCUCAACUCCAGAACUGCCAUUGAUACUAUCUAUCUUGAAUAUUGUGGAGGUAAGCGGAAUAUGUCAUGUAGCGGUGAAAUGCUUAGAUAUGACAUAGAACACCCAUUGCGAAGGCAGCUUACUACGCAUAUAUUGACGCUGAGGCACGAAAGCGUGGGGAUCAAACAGGAUUAGAUACCCUGGUAGUCCACGCCCUAAACUAUGGAUACUCGACAUAUGCGAUACACUGUAUGUGUCUGAGCGAAAGCAUUAAGUAUCCCACCUGGGAAGUACGUUCGCAAGAAUGAAACUCAAAGGAAUUGGCGGGGGUCCGCACAAGCGGUGGAGUAUGUGGUUUAAUUCGAUGAUACGCGAGGAACCUUACCUGGGCUAGAAUGCUGGGAGACCGCUAGUGAAAGCUAGUUUUGUAGCAAUACACUGCCAGUAAGGUGCUGCAUGGCCGUCGUCAGCUCGUGCCGUGAGGUGUUGGGUUAAGUCCCGCAACGAGCGCAACCCCUAUCUUUAGUUGCCAACAGGUAAUGCUGGGAACUCUAAAGAAACUGCCGCCGUAAGGUGUGAGGAAGGAGGGGAUGAUGUCAGGUCAUCAUGGCCUUUAUGCCCAGGGCUACACACGUACUACAAUGGGGGAGACAAAGGGCUGCAACAUAGCGAUAUGAAGCCAAUCCCAAAAACUCCCUCUCAGUUCAGAUUGCAGGCUGCAACUCGCCUGCAUGAAGCUGGAAUCGCUAGUAAUCGUAUAUCAGCAAUGAUACGGUGAAUACGUUCCCGGACCU